AGGGGAGUGAAAAAGAACCUGAAACCGUGUACGUACAAGCAGUGGGAGCACGCUUAGGCGUGUGACUGCGUACCUUUUGUAUAAUGGGUCAGCGACUUAUAUUCUGUAGCAAGGUUAACCGAAUAGGGGAGCCGAAGGGAAACCGAGUCUUAACUGGGCGUUAAGUUGCAGGGUAUAGACCCGAAACCCGGUGAUCUAGCCAUGGGCAGGUUGAAGGUUGGGUAACACUAACUGGAGGACCGAACCGACUAAUGUUGAAAAAUUAGCGGAUGACUUGUGGCUGGGGGUGAAAGGCCAAUCAAACCGGGAGAUAGCUGGUUCUCCCCGAAAGCUAUUUAGGUAGCGCCUCGUGAAUUCAUCUCCGGGGGUAGAGCACUGUUUCGGCAAGGGGGUCAUCCCGACUUACCAACCCGAUGCAAACUGCGAAUACCGGAGAAUGUUAUCACGGGAGACACACGGCGGGUGCUAACGUCCGUCGUGAAGAGGGAAACAACCCAGACCGCCAGCUAAGGUCCCAAAGUCAUGGUUAAGUGGGAAACGAUGUGGGAAGGCCCAGACAGCCAGGAUGUUGGCUUAGAAGCAGCCAUCAUUUAAAGAAAGCGUAAUAGCUCACUGGUCGAGUCGGCCUGCGCGGAAGAUGUAACGGGGCUAAACCAUGCACCGAAGCUGCGGCAGCGACGCUGAUGCGUUGUUGGGUAGGGGAGCGUUCUGUAAGCCUGCGAAGGUGUGCUGUGAGGCAUGCUGGAGGUAUCAGAAGUGCGAAUGCUGACAUAAGUAACGAUAAAGCGGGUGAAAAGCCCGCUCGCCGGAAGACCAAGGGUUCCUGUCCAACGUUAAUCGGGGCAGGGUGAGUCGACCCCUAAGGCGAGGCCGAAAGGCGUAGUCGAUGGGAAACAGGUUAAUAUUCCUGUACUUGGUGUUACUGCGAAGGGGGGACGGAGAAGGCUAUGUUGGCCGGGCGACGGUUGUCCCGGUUUAAGCGUGUAGGCUGGUUUUCCAGGCAAAUCCGGAAAAUCAAGGCUGAGGCGUGAUGACGAGGCACUGCGGUGCUGAAGCAACAAAUGCCCUGCUUCCAGGAAAAGCCUCUAAGCAUCAGGUAACAUCAAAUCGUACCCCAAACCGACACAGGUGGUCAGGUAGAGAAUACCAAGGCGCUUGAGAGAACUCGGGUGAAGGAACUAGGCAAAAUGGUGCCGUAACUUCGGGAGAAGGCACGCUGAUAUGUAGGUGAAGUCCCUCGCGGAUGGAGCUGAAAUCAGUCGAAGAUACCAGCUGGCUGCAACUGUUUAUUAAAAACACAGCACUGUGCAAACACGAAAGUGGACGUAUACGGUGUGACGCCUGCCCGGUGCCGGAAGGUUAAUUGAUGGGGUUAGCGCAAGCGAAGCUCUUGAUCGAAGCCCCGGUAAACGGCGGCCGUAACUAUAACGGUCCUAAGGUAGCGAAAUUCCUUGUCGGGUAAGUUCCGACCUGCACGAAUGGCGUAAUGAUGGCUAGGCUGUCUCCACCCGAGACUCAGUGAAAUUGAACUCGCUGUGAAGAUGCAGUGUACCCGCGGCAAGACGGAAAGACCCCGUGAACCUUUACUAUAGCUUGACACUGAACAUUGAGCCUUGAUGUGUAGGAUAGGUGGGAGGCUU
rnacentral:rRNA from 1 species